rnacentral:lncRNA from 1 species
GGGGAAACUGAGGUCCAGCUUGGCCAUGAUAGGGGCCGGGAUCGAAGCCUGUGAGGGACCCUUACGGUAGGGGUGAUGCAGGGUGAGGAGAUGAGGGCUUUAAGGAGCGGGCUUGGGAGUGGGGAAGGAGCUGGAACGUGGGUGGGUUCGAUUACAGGUCACCUCGGGGACUCUGGGGGGAUCUGCCUGUAAACCUCGACGUAGCCUCUCGGGUCUGGCGCUGGGAGCUUCACGGGCCUGCAGGGAGAUGACACGGAAAGGGUCGAUCGAGGGUGCUGAAUACCAGUCCAACGGUGCCUGAAGGCCGUGGACUGCAAUGGGCAAGGAGACAGUGAAUUCCAGUUAACUAACGAAAAGGAACUCAAGGAUCGCUGCAACCCAGGAGCUGGAGGCUGCAGUGAGCUAUGAUCGAGCCACCUCACUUCAGCCUGGGCGACAGAGCGAGACUCUGUCUCACAAAAAGAAAAUAAAUAAAAAAAGAAAAAGAACUCAGCGCCUUUGGGCUGGCAUGGAAGGACUGUGGUUGGUUGCAAGGGCAUUCCAACCCAGAAAACUGCGUGGGGUAGGAAGGUGGAUUGGUGAUGCCUCAGCCGACACACGGGGGACUCCCAGUUUUAAUGUUUCCCGUGGGAGGGCCCCAGGAGCAGGAGGAGAUAGUGCCAAUCUCAGGAGGGGUCUGAGCUGGAGUCGGUGGCUGGAAGUAAAGCAUUGGAAGGGGCUGAGGUCCCUGGAGGGAAGAACAGAGAAAGACAGCGGCCCACAGUGAGUGGCAGCCCAGGGUGUGAGGAGCCUGGAGAUGGAAGAGGAAGAGGAGACAGGCCACAGAGCCCAGGGCUGAGUUCUGGUGGCCUCCGAAGUCCUCACUGGGUGACUCCGGCCAGAACCUCCACACCUCCUGCCCAUGAUAGUUAUGGUACCUUCCUCUUGGGGCUGUCCUGGGGAUGAAACUAGAUAAUCCAUGUAAAAUGUUCAGUGCCACAGAUGCAAAUACUGGCUAUUUCAUUGGCGAA